GACGAACCGUGCGAACGUUGUUCGGAAUCACUGGGCUUAAAGGGCGCGUAGGCGGCAGAUCAAGUCCGGGGUGAAAGCCCUCAGCUCAACUGGGGAAGUGCCUUGGAUACUGAUUUGCUCGAGGGAGGUAGGGGUCGAGGGAACUUCCGGUGGAGCGGUGAAAUGCGUUGAUAUCGGAAGGAACGCCGGUGGCGAAAGCGCUCGACUGGAUCUCUUCUGACGCUGAGGCGCGAAAGCUAGGGGAGCAAAC
rnacentral:rRNA from 1 species